rnacentral:ncRNA from 2 species
CUAUCUUGCGCGCGAGCCAAUGGUACUCAGUUGAAACACCAAAGGCGCAAAAAACAUAACUUGAAACUGUGCGGGAUUACGGGCGAGACUCUCUGCUCGUCCCUCCAUCCCCGGGUGUUAUACCAGGCAUGCCGGGGGCCUCGCGCCCUCGGUGCCAUAACAUACCGCGAGUGUGCAGGAUGUGACCCGAAAGAUGGUGAACUAUGCCUGAUCAGGUUGAAGUCAGGGGAAACCCUGAUGGAGGACCGAAGCAGUUCUGACGUGCAAAUCGAUUGUCAGAAUUGGGCAUAGGGGCGAAAGACCAAUCGAACCAUCUAGUAGCUGG